CAAAUUGCCAAAUUGGUAGCUUGUCGUUUGUCCAAGAGAGAGUUUUGAACUAUUCAUUUGGGCCAAACAGGUCUAUUCAAUGCGUGAGGCAGGCUCAGUAUGUUCGACUGAUAAGCAACCUGUCGUUAUAGUAUUUUGGGCACAUUGCUCGAUAUCUCUGUUUCCCUUCGGCCGUUGCUAUCCAGUGAUAGAGGUUUAUGAACUACAUCUGGAGGGUUGUAGUGGUUAAGAGUU
rnacentral:misc_RNA from 1 species